CAGUCGCCGCGGGAAUACGUAGGUGGCAAGCGUUGUCCGGAUUUAUUGGGCGUAAAGCGAGCGCAGGCGGUUUCUUAAGUCUGAUGUGAAAGCCCCCGGCUCAACCGGGGAGGGUCAUUGGAAACUGGGAAACUUGAGUGCAGAAGAGGAGAGUGGAAUUCCAUGUGUAGCGGUGAAAUGCGUAGAUAUAUGGAGGAACACCAGUGGCGAAGGCGGCUCUCUGGUCUGUAACUGACGCUGAGGCUCGAAAGCGUGGGGAGCAAACAGGAUUAGAUACCCGAGUAGUCCCUGUCUCUUAUAA
rnacentral:rRNA from 1 species